UACGUAGGAGGCGAGCGUUGUCCGGAUUUACUGGGCGUAAAGCGUGCGCAGGCGGUUCGUUGUGUCGGCGGUGAAAGCCCCGGGCUUAACCUGGGAAUGGCCGUUGAAACUGGCGAACUGGAGUGUGGCAGAGGGGGGUGGAAUUCCGCGUGUAGCAGUGAAAUGCGUAGAGAUGCGGAGGAACACCGAUGGCGAAGGCAGCCCCCUGGGCUAACACUGACGCUCAGGCACGAAAGCGUGGGGAGCAAACAGG
rnacentral:rRNA from 1 species